rnacentral:rRNA from 1 species
CAAUAGCGUAUAUUAAAGUUGUUGCGGUAAAAAAGCUCGUAGUUGGAUUUCUACCGAAGAUAGCCGGUCGGGUCUUCGGCCUUGUAUCUGGUUUUGUCUUUGGUAUCCUCAUAGGGAACGUUUCUGCGCUUUAUUGCGUGGUGCGGUAUCUAUGACUUUUACUUUGAGGAAAUUAGAGUGUUCACGGCAGGCAAACGCCUUGAAUAUAUUAGCAUGGAAUAAUAACAUAGGAUCUUCGUCCUAUUUUGUUGGUUUCUAGGGCUAAGAUAAUGAUUAAUAGGGAUAAUUGGGGGCAUCUGUAUCAACGCGUCAGAGGUGGAAUUCUUGGAUUGCGUUGCGACAAACUACUGCGAAAGCAUUUGCCAAGGAUGUUUUCAUUGA